CCUACGGGUGACAGCAGUGAGGAAUAUUGGUCAAUGGGCUUACGCCUGAACCAGCCAAGUCGCGUGAGGGAAGACUGCCCUAUGGGUUGUAAACCUCUUUUGUCAGGGAGCAACGCCGGCUACGUGUAGCCGGACUGAGAGUACCUGAAGAAAAAGCAUCGGCUAACUCCGUGCCAGCAGCCGCGGUAAUACGUAGGGGGCAAGCGUUAUCCGGAUUUACUGGGUGUAAAGGGAGCGUAGACGGCUGUGCAAGUCUGAAGUGAAAGCCCGUGGCUCAACCGCGGAACUGCUUUGGAAACUGUAUAGCUUGAGUACUGGAGAGGCAGGCGGAAUUCCUAGUGUAGCGGUGAAAUGCGUAGAUAUUAGGAGGAACACCAGUGGCGAAGGCGGCCUGCUGGACAGAAACUGACGUUGAGGCUCGAAAGCGUGGGGAGCAAACAGGAUUAGAUACCCUAGUAGUC
rnacentral:rRNA from 1 species